UUUCCGUAGGUGAACCUGCGGAAGGAUCAUUACCACGCGAUCCAAAACGCUCACUCAAUUAACUUAAUGUGCCGGGGUUGCCGCGAGGCUGCUGCGGCACAUUGUAUCUCACCCCCUCCUUUCAAACUCCCAAUGCGGACACCGAAGCAACUUCGGCAACAGCCCUGGGUGUGCGCGUGUUCGUGGCUCUGCCGCGGCACUCGCCCCCCAGUACCAUAUCACAAUGCUUACAACUUUUAGCAACGGAUAUCUUGGCUCUU
rnacentral:misc_RNA from 1 species